AGUUGUUAGUUCCAAGCAAGUUGUUGGUAUCCUUCACUUGUGCUUCAUCCUUCACUUGUUCUUCAUCCUUCAAUUCCUCUAGAGGAAGCUGGUUUCCAGCUUUGCUGUCGAUACCUACUACUGCAUGCUUAUACAUCAGGAGAUAUUGCUUUGGUGGCAUUAGCAACUGCAAGAUCUCCAUUAUGGAGCAUUUGGUUUGCCUGAAGUCCUUUCUUCCUAUUUCCAGAACGUUUGCCGUUAGAAAAUUGACACUGCCGUUUCAUGCUCUUCUGGGUCUUAGGCAAUCGCCGCCUCAUGGAAAUGAAGCGCCUCAAUGGAGGAGCAGCAUUAUGGUGAUGGCCAUGAAGGGAGCAAUAAGUAUAUGUACAAACAUUCAUGAAUGAAGUUCCUGUAGAUUCAUGUUCCCCAGGCUGAAGCUCGAGCUCCAAUGAGUUAGGGAAUUUGGAAUCCUUGAGAAUUGAAGAACAGGUAGCUUUAUUCAUGCUUGAGUUAGGAGAUUGACAUAUUUGACAACAUUUCACCGUGGAAGACUUCUUUGAUUUGAAAGUACCCAUUUUUGUUAAGACUCUCACAGGUCUCAAACUUGAUGCUCUAGUUACAACUCUCACAGAUUUGUUACUAGACAAAGUAGAUUUCGGCUUUGAAACACAUGAUUUUUUCCUAUUUUGAUAACAGCUACUAAAACUGGAUUCAGAAUUACGGGAUCUUGCCUGAUACCGGAAUUUGAAGCUUCUUGUGGAAAAACGUGGCCCCUCCAAUUUUUCCUGCCUGAUUGAUCUUGACCUCUUUGCUUUUCUCUGCACCUCAGUCCCUCCAGAGCUUUUACUCAUCAAAGUCCUCUUGAAUUUCAAACUAGCCAUUCUUGCCAAUCUCUUCUCAGGCUUUAAACUCGAUCUCCUUGCCGAGGUUGUCAUUGGAUUCUGUUCACAAGAAGUAAUAUUUGGUGUAUAAGAAAAUCUCUUCCUGAAUUAUUGUUACCAAGACUAGAUUCAAUGAUUUCAAGUACUUGCCUGAAAACUUCCCUUCCUCCUUGCAUCUGAACUGCUUGUGGCCUUCAUAUAACUUGGCGACACAUCUGACAUCUUAUUUGGAGUGGACUGUCCCGAGCUUGGUGGAUUAGCAGAGAAGGCAAUGAGGUGACCAUUUCGAGAUUUCGUUAAUCUGUUGGAUGAUCUUAAACUUGGAAAUCUUGAGAACUUGAUUGACCUCAGCUUCUUCAGUUUCUUCUUUGGAUCCUUUCCUCCCCUGUCACUGUUGUCCCCAAAACAAGAUGAGUCCUUGGUUAUAGAUGCCAUCUCAGACUCCGCAGACCCAACACUAUCAUAAUCGGUGCCAGCUUCAAGCUUGUUAGAAAUCAUUCUUUGAAUUUGUAACGAGAGUAUUCAACGCUAUGCUAUGGAGGUUGGAGUUAUCUUUCAGUCUCUAUCUUUACUCUGCGGUGGAGAAUUAAGCUUUGGAAGAAAAGCAAAAGUGCCCUUCUGGCUGUCUGGGAAGGACAAGGGAUUCAAAAGCUUGUGCCUGGUUAUAGCGACUCGUCUUCUUCAUCUUCCUCCAACUGCUUUUUAAAAUUUCAGCCAUGACUUUGCCACGUUACCAAGUUUGAUUAUGGUGGAGAAAGGGACAGGAAGAUGCCUUGACUUGUACAAACACAGAAUGCAUGCCAAUGACCUUGUCUUUCCGAUUCACUCUUUUUUCUUUUUUUUUUUUGAAGCUUUUUGGUAGAGAAUAAUGCCAGAAACUUGAUCAUUUUCGUACACAUGUCGUGCUGAUGAAAAACUCCAAAGACAAUAAAGAAAUAUUCAAAUCUUAGCUUA